AGGCCGCCUCCGCGCCACAAUCCACGGGCGCCGGCCAGCCAAGGUCUCCGCGCUCUCCCGGGCCCAGGCCGGCUCCGCCUUGCACACUUCCCGGGAGCAGUUUCCCAGCACAGACUUGGGUGCGUUGUUCAGACAAAGAGUCAAACGCAGGGACUGCACAGUUGAACAACCCUGAGCUGUUGGCGUCCUCUGAAACUCUCCUCCUGGAACUCACUUCCGUCUGGAGAGACCUCAAGAAUGAAGAUUGGAUCCGAGUCCCAGGUGGGUGUGGGGCUCCUUGCUACCUCACCCAUAGAAGUAAAAUCUCAGAGUAAAUGACCAGCUGAUUCGGGUUCACCAUCUGAGAAAAAACCUCUUGAAAUUGCUUUGUUCUCGCAGCCUAUGAAGAUUUUCUUGCCGAUUUCGAACGUGAAAGGAAAAUGAAAUAAACACGUAAUAAAAGC
rnacentral:lncRNA from 1 species